GGGGAAAGGCCUGGCUUAGCUUUAGAGCAUUUGCUUUGAGUACACAAGGUCCCAGGUUCAAUUUCUGGUAUCUCCA